UACGGAGGAUGCAAGCGUUAUCCGGAUUUAUUGGGUUUAAAGGGUACGCAGGUUGUUUGAUAAGUCAGUGGUGAAAGUCUGUCGCUUAACGGUAGGAUUGCCAUUGAUACUGUUGGACUUGAAUAUGGAUGAGGUAGGCGGAAUGUGUAGUGUAGCGGUGAAAUGCAUAGAUAUUACACAGAACACCGAUUGCGAAGGCAGCUUACUAAUCCAUCAUUGACGCUGAGGCACGAAAGCGUGGGGAUCAAACA
rnacentral:rRNA from 1 species